GUAGGUGAACCUGCGGAAGGAUCAUUACCAAUCCAAAACUUACAAACCACUGUGAACUAGCUGAAAGUACUUGGGUCUUACUGAUCAAUUGUUCUACGGAACAACAGGGAUGUAUUACCUAAUAAGUAUAAACCACUUUAAAUAUAAUUUUUAAAACUUUAAAUUACUUUUAUAACUUGUUAUAAAAUUAAUUACAAAACUUAAAAAUACAACUUUUAGCGGUGGAUCUCUUGGCUCAU
rnacentral:misc_RNA from 1 species